GAACGCACCGCAAGGUGAGUGGCAGACGGGUGAGUAACGCGUGGGAACCUUCCCUGUGGUACGGAAUAACUUCGGGAAACCGAAGCUAAUACCGUAUAUCUCCUCCGGGAGAAAGAUUUAUCGCCAUAGGAUGGGCCCGCGUUGGAUUAGCUAGUUGGUAGGGUAAUGGCCUACCAAGGCAACGAUCCAUAGCUGGUCUGAGAGGAUGAUCAGCCACACUGGGACUGAGACACGGCCCAGACUCCUACGGGAGGCAGCAGUGGGGAAUAUUGGACAAUGGGCGCAAGCCUGAUCCAGCCAUGCCGCGUGAGUGAAGAAGGCCUUAGGGUUGUAAAGCUAUUUUGGCGGGGACGAUAAUGACGGUACCCGCAGAAUAAGCCCCGGCUAACUUAGUG
rnacentral:rRNA from 1 species